CUCCCAUACAAUCACUGAAGUUAAGCAAUAUUGGGCCUGGUCAGUACUUAGAUGGGUAACUCCUUGGGAAUACCAGGAGCUGUAAG